rnacentral:rRNA from 1 species
UCCUGCAGUGAAUUCAUAGCUGCUGGAAGCGAACCCGGUGAACUGAAAUAUCUAAGUAACCGGAGGAAAAGAAAUCAACCGAGAUUCCCUAAGUAGUGACGAGCGAACGGGGAACAGCCCUUAAGCUGGAAUGGCUUUAGAAAAACAAUCUGGAAAGAUUGGCCAUAGAAGGUGAUAGCCCUGUAUUUAAAAGGGCCACUCCAGUGAAGACGAGUAGGGCGGGGCACGUGAAACCCUGUCUGAAUAUGGGGGGACCAUCCUCCAAGGCUAAAUACUCCUGACCGACCGAUAGUGAACCAGUACCGUGAGGGAAAGGCGAAAAGAACCCCGGAGAGGGGAGUGAAAUAGAUCCUGAAACCGUGUGCGUACAAGCAGUAGGAGCUCGCAAGAGUGACUGCGUACCUUUUGUAUAAUGGGUCAGCGACUUACUGUUCGUGGCAAGCUUAACCGUAUAGGGGAGGCGAAGGGAAACCGAGUCUGAUAAGGGCGCAUAGUCGCGGGCAGUAGACCCGAAACCGGGUGAUCUAGUCAUGGCCAGGGUGAAGGUGCCGUAACAGGUACUGGAGGCCCGUACCCACGUCUGUUGCAAAAGACGGGGAUGAGCUGUGAUUAGGAGUGAAAAGCUAAUCGAACCCGGAGAUAGCUGGUUCUCCUCGAAAGCUAUUUAGGUAGCGCCUCGGACGAAUACUACUGGGGGUAGAGCACUGUUAUGGCUAGGGGGUCAUCGCGACUUACCAAACCAUUGCAAACUCCGAAUACCAGUACGUACUAUCCGGGAGACACACGGCGGGUGCUAACGUCCGUCGUGAAAAGGGAAACAACCCAGACCCACAGCUAAGGUCCCAAAUUCACUGCUAAGUGGAAAACGAUGUGGAAAGGCACAGACAGCCAGGAGGUUGGCUUAGAAGCAGCCACCCUUUAAAGAAAGCGUAAUAGCUCACUGGUCGAGUCGGUCUGCGCGGAAGAUUUAACGGGGCUAAGCAGUGAACCGAAGCUUGGGGUGCAUAAAACUUGUUUUAUGCGCGGUAGAGGAGCGUUCCGUAAGCCUGCGAAGGUGGAUUGAGAAGUCCGCUGGAGGUAUCGGAAGUGCGAAUGCUGACAUGAGUAACGAUAAUGCGGGUGAAAAGCCC